UUUCUCCCCUAUGUGUAACCUUACAUGAUUUAUAAGGCUAGCCCUACUACUGAAAUCUUUCCCACAAUCUGGACAUUCAUAUGGUUUCUCUCCUGUGUGAGUCCUCUGGUGUAUCACCAGGUAGGAAUUCUGACUGAAACUUUUCCCACAAUCAGGACACU